AAAGUCGUAACAAGGUUUCCGUAGGUGAACCUGCGGAAGGAUCAUUAUUACGUAUCCAACGUAUCAAAACUCAAUCGUGAAGUGUGAUCCCAUCUUUGUGAGGGUUUGUCUGCGACAAGUUGCAUGGGGUAGGGAUGAAAAAUGUCACAGUUUUUCUCCUGACUUGGAAAGACUUGUCGGUUCCUAGGGUUGAUCCUCUCGGGGAUCGUAUUCUAGCUCACUUAGAUGUGGUUUUAUUAUUUUUCCAACUCAUCACUAUGCAAUAAGCAACAAAAAUUAUUUAACCCCUUGUAUCUAUUAAAGAUCUAACAACUGUGAUGUACUUCUCCUUCUUCGGAAAGGGAGUUAUUCACCGAUUAACCGAAAUUAAGAAACAACUCUUAACAACGGAUAUCUUGGUUCUC
rnacentral:misc_RNA from 1 species